UACGGAGGGUGCAAGCGUUAUCCGGAUUUACUGGGUUUAAAGGGUGCGUAGGCGGGCAUUUAAGUCAGUGGUGAAAUACCUGAGCUUAACUUGGGAACUGCCAUUGAUGCUAUUUGUCUUGAAUGUCGUGGAGGUUAGCGGAAUAUGUCAUGUAGCGGUGAAAUGCUUAGAUAUGACAUAGAACACCUAUUGCGAAGGCAGCUAACUACGCGAAUAUUGACGCUGAGGCACGAAAGCGUGGGGAUCAAACAGG
rnacentral:rRNA from 1 species